rnacentral:lncRNA from 1 species
GGUGAGGCGGCAUGUAAAUCGGUGAGACCGCAGUACCCACUAGAAAUCCUAGUCGCGUAGGGUUUUCGUUUCUCCAUCAGGGGAGUAUGAGGGAUUCGAGAAAAUAGUGGGAGCAUAUUUGUUUUAAAAGUUCCUAGAACAAAUUAAGUUCAAGUACAAAGUCUAACUAGAAUCUUUACUCUCUACAGAUCACAAUGUCAGCUUCGAACCCUUUGACCCGUAUUCU